rnacentral:rRNA from 1 species
AACGAACGCUGGCGGCAGGCCUAACACAUGCAAGUCGAGCGGACCCUUCGGGGUUAGCGGCGGACGGGUGAGUAACGCGUGGGAAUAUGCCCUUCUCUACGGAAUAGUCCUGGGAAACUGGGGGUAAUACCGUAUACGCCCUUUGGGGGAAAGAUUUAUCGGGGAAGGAUUAGCCCGCGUUGGAUUAGGUAGUUGGUGGGGUAAUGGCCUACCAAGCCGACGAUCCAUAGCUGGUUUGAGAGGAGGAUCAGCCACACUGGGACUGAGACACGGCCCAGACUCCUACGGGAGGCAGCAGUGGGGAAUCUUAGACAAUGGGGGCAACCCUGAUCUAGCCAUGCCGCGUGAGUGAUGAAGGCCUUAGGGUUGUAAAGCUCUUUCAGCUGGGAAGAUAAUGACGGUACCAGCAGAAGAAGCCCCGGCUAACUCCGUG